CAGUCGAACGAAGCGCCUUAUUUGAUUUUCUUCGGAACUGAAGAUUUGGUGACUGAGUGGCGGACGGGUGAGUAACGCGUGGGUAACCUGCCCUGUACAGGGGGAUAACAAUCAGAAAUGACUGCUAAUACCGCAUAAGACCACAGCACCGCAUGGUGCAGGGGUAAAAACUCCGGUGGUACAGGAUGGACCCGCGUCUGAUUAGCUGGUUGGUGAGGUAACGGCUCACCAAGGCGACGAUCAGUAGCCGGCUUGAGAGAGUGAACGGCCACGUUGGGACUGAGACACGGCCCAAACUCCUACGGGAGGCAGCAGUGGGGAAUAUUGCACAAUGGGGGAAACCCUGAUGCAGCGACGCCGCGUGAGUGAAGAAGUAUCUCGGUAUGUAAAGCUCUAUCAGCAGGGAAGAAAAUGACGGUACCUGACUAAGAAGCCCCGGCUAACUACGUGCCAGCAGCCGCGGUAAUACGUAGGGGGCAAGCGUUAUCCGGAAUUACUGGGUGUAAAGGGUGCGUAGGUGGUAUGGCAAGUCAGAAGUGAAAACCCAGGGCUUAACUCUGGGACUGCUUUUGAAACUGUCAGACUGGAGUGCAGGAGAGGUAAGCGGAAUUCCUAGUGUAGCGGUGAAAUGCGUAUAUAUUAGGAGGAACAUCAGUGGCGAAAGCGGCUUACUGGACUGAAACUGACACUGAGGCACGAAAGCGUGGGG
rnacentral:rRNA from 1 species